GAGUUUGAUCGUGGCUCAGAUUGAACGCUGGCGGCAUGCCUUACACAUGCAAGUCGAACGGCAGCAUGAUCUAGCUUGCUAGAUUGAUGGCGAGUGGCGAACGGGUGAGUAAUACAUCGGAACGUGCCCUGUAGUGGGGGAUAACUAGUCGAAAGAUUAGCUAAUACCGCAUACGACCUGAGGGUGAAAGUGGGGGACCGCAAGGCCUCAUGCUAUAGGAGCGGCCGAUGUCUGAUUAGCUAGUUGGUGGGGUAAAGGCCCACCAAGGCGACGAUCAGUAGCUGGUCUGAGAGGACGAUCAGCCACACUGGGACUGAGACACGGCCCAGACUCCUACGGGAGGCAGCAGUGGGGAAUUUUGGACAAUGGGCGAAAGCCUGAUCCAGCAAUGCCGCGUGUGUGAGAAGG
rnacentral:rRNA from 1 species